rnacentral:rRNA from 1 species
AGUGAACGCUGGCGGUAGGCCAAACACAUGCAAGUCGAACGGCAGCACAGUAAGAGCUUGCUCUUACGGGUGGCGAGUGGCGGACGGGUGAGGAAUACAUCGGAAUCUACUUUUUCGUGGGGGAUAACGUAGGGAAACUUACGCUAAUACCGCAUACGACCUACGGGUGAAAGCAGGGGAUCUUCGGACCUUGCGCGAUUGAAUGAGCCGAUGUCGGAUUAGCUAGUUGGCGGGGUAAAGGCCCACCAAGGCGACGAUCCGUAGCUGGUCUGAGAGGAUGAUCAGCCACACUGGAACUGAGACACGGUCCAGACUCCUACGGGAGGCAGCAGUGGGGAAUAUUGGACAAAGGGCGCAAGCCUGAUCCAGCCAUACCGCGUGGGUGAAGAAGGCCUUCGGGUUGUAAAGCCCUUUUGUUGGGAAAGAAAAGCAGCAGGUUAAUACCCCGCUGUUCUGACGGUACCCAAAGAAUAAGCACCGGCUAACUUCGUG